rnacentral:lncRNA from 13 species
CAGGCAUAUAGGAAGCAAUGGAGUACCUCUGUGUUGUCAUUUUACUUUUCUCGGCUGUGGCUACACGUGCUGACCCAUGGAGACAAUUGCAACAGGGAGACAGUCGAUUCCUCCCAUUUGGCAGACCUCAACAAAGUCCAGACAGACACCCUAUGAGACCCAAUGGUAGAGAUCCCUGGAUGAAGGAUGGUUCCCUCCCUCCAUUUGGGGGCCAGCCAAUAGGUGGAGGAGGAGAGAACUCUAGACCAAUCGGUGGAGGACCUACGUGGCAAGGAUGGGAUAUGGGUGGAACUGGCAACCCAGGAUGGCCCGACCAGGAUCAAAUGCCCCCUUGGUACCCAAACAGACCCUCUGGAGGCCCAGGAAGUGGGGACACUCAGCGACUAAUGGGAGGGCCCGAGUCUGGAGGACCCCUCGACUACCCUGAUCGGGAUUAUAAAAGGAGAGAGGACGAAGGUCAAUGGUGGAACCAGGGAACCAUGAGAAGAGACCGAGGAUCAUCAUCCCCUGCCGAUCUUCCACCUGUGACAGGAUCUGACUUUGGGUAUGCUCCCAAUGGACCUGGACCGCACCCUGGCCAGGGCCCCCCUCGCGGGCCAGGGUCCCGAUGGCGUAGACCUGCAGGGCCCCCAAGAGGAGGAAGACCCAACAUGAGGAACCUUGAUGCAAGGUCUGACAGGAACCCCAUUCGCCCCUCAGCUGUUCCAUCUGGAGCAGGUGGACGGCCCCCGUUUGAUGACACCUUCUUUGGAGGAAGACUGUUGCAACCUGAGAUGGUGGGCAACAGAGAAUUCAUCCCCAUCUUUCAGGCUGACAAUGUGACUUUACAGAAUGCAAGUGGUCUGCCCCUGAAAGAGGGUGAGAACAUUUUCCUGCUGCCAAAGGGAGGACGAGGAACACCCCCACCAAGGCAUGGACAUAAAAGACCUCAAGAAUUAGGGUUUGGAUACCCACACUCAUCUGGUUUUCAGUUCCAACCUUACCUGAAGCUCAUCUACAACCCCUCAGCUACAGUAUGUAUACAUUUAUGAUUUAACAUCAACAAAAUACCACAAUGCAAAUAUGUUAUGUGAGAUUUUAUCUU